UACGGAGGAUCCAAGCGUUAUCCGGAAUCAUUGGGUUUAAAGGGUCCGUAGGCGGUUUUGUAAGUCAGUGGUGAAAGCCCAUCGCUCAACGGUGGAACGGCCAUUGAUACUGCAAGACUUGAAUUAUUAGGAAGUAACUAGAAUAUGUAGUGUAGCGGUGAAAUGCUUAGAGAUUACAUGGAAUACCAAUUGCGAAGGCAGGUUACUACUAGUGGAUUGACGCUGAUGGACGAAAGCGUGGGAGCGAACAGG
rnacentral:rRNA from 1 species